rnacentral:rRNA from 1 species
AUUGAACGCUGGCGGCAUGCCUUACACAUGCAAGUCGAACGGCAGCACGGGAGCAAUCCUGGUGGCGAGUGGCGAACGGGUGAGUAAUAUAUCGGAACGUGCCCAGUCGUGGGGGAUAACGUAGCGAAAGCUACGCUAAUACCGCAUACGAUCUAUGGAUGAAAGCGGGGGAUCGCAAGACCUCGCGCGAUUGGAGUGGCCGAUAUCAGAUUAGGUAGUUGGUGAGGUAAAGGCGCACCAAGCCGACGAUCUGUAGCUGGUCUGAGAGGACGACCAGCCACACUGGGACUGAGACACGGCCCAGACUCCUACGGGAGGCAGCAGUGGGGAAUUUUGGACAAUGGGCGCAAGCCUGAUCCAGCAAUGCCGCGUGCAGGAUGAAGGCCUUCGGGUUGUAAACUGCUUUUGUACGGAACGAAACGGCGAGCUCUAAUACAGUUUGCUAAUGACGGUACCGUAAGAAUAAGCACCGGCUAACUACGUGCCAGCCGCCGCGGUAA